rnacentral:misc_RNA from 1 species
AAGUCGUAACAAGGUUUCCGUAGGUGAACCUGCGGAAGGAUCAUUCUUGAAUAGCUUUCAAAUCUGUGAACUGAUAUCUGGUUUGGCACCUACUAGGCUUAGCUUCACGGCUAACCUAUGGUGUCAGACUGCUUUUCAUGAAUUUUGACUUAACAACCAAUUGACUUAAAAUCUAAGUUUAAACAACUUUUAGCAACGGAUCUCUAGGCUCUC